rnacentral:tRNA from 1 species
GGGGUUAUAGCUCAGUGGCAUAAGCACCUGCCUGGCAAGCGUGAGGUCACGAGUUUGAUCCCUGUAACCCCC